GUCAGGAUGGCCGAGUGGUCUAAGGCGCCAGACUCAAGCUCUGGAUGGAGGCAUGGGUUCAAAUCCCACUUCUGACA